rnacentral:misc_RNA from 1 species
GAUGAAGAACGUAGCGAAAUGCGAUAAGUAGUGUGAAUUGCAGAAUUCAGUGAAUCAUCGAAUCUUUGAACGCACAUUGCGCCUCCUGGUAUUCCGGGAGGCAUGCCUGUUCGAGCGUCAUCAAAAACCUCAACCCAUGAUUUAUUGUGAGUUGGUUCUGCAUUGGACUCCUUGUGGGUCCUUUGCGAAAUCCAAUGGCGAAGAGCCACGCAACCAAAGCGUAGUAUAACUAUUUCGUUAUGGAAGCGUGGGUGCCUCUGCCGUAACCCCCAAUUUCUUAGUUUUUGACCUCGGAUCAGGUAGGGAUACCCGCUGAACUUAAGCAUAUCAAUAAGCGAGGA